rnacentral:lncRNA from 1 species
UCUCGCUAGUUUGGUGUGUGGGGAUGUAUUUGACCCAAGAGACAUGUCCUUUAGAAAAUUUAUUAAAAUAAUAUAAUAUUAUGCAGUGUUUACAUGAAAUUGACUGAUUUACUUUUUGUAUAAAAUUGCAGAUGACUACAUGUGCACCUGACACGCCCUGUGUGAGCUCCCAGCCUGUGCUCAUGUCAGAGCCACAGUGGGAUGAAGCUGCCUGGUUAGAGGACACUGGUCAACAGAUGACUACAUGUGAACCUGACACACACUGUGUGAGCUCCCAGCCUGUGCUCAUGUCACAGCCAAAGUGGGAUGAAUCAGCCUGGUUAGAGGACACUGGUCACCAGGUAAUUCAUAUCCAUCACCUAAUAAUUACCUCUAGUGUCUUCUAGUCACCUUUGACAUCUGCUCUUGUUUUCUUUAAGCAGGUAAAUUAAUUUAAUUUUAUAAUUAUAAGGGGAAUCUAUUAUGCAUCAGGUCUGCCAAACUGUUUUCUCUAAUGCUUGUAUAAGGCUAAUGAUAAGGGAUAUGUAGGACACAUCUAAACCUUGUUGAGUAAUUUUCCCGGGACAAAAUGUUGCUGUAGUCUGGGAUAAUCACGACGUCCCCACAAUGCACCUUUUAUGGUUUGGUUUCAGUGUAAUGUUACGUUAAGUAUCUGAUAACAGAGAACCUACAGGUGUGUGAAAUGUCCC